rnacentral:tRNA from 1 species
UUAUUUUGGCAGAAUAGUGCAAUAGAUUUAGAAUCUUUAAAUAUAAAAUGAAUUAUAAAUAAUAU